rnacentral:rRNA from 1 species
CAAGAGCUCAGAUUUGAAAUCGUGCUUUGCGGCACGAGUUGUAGAUUGCAGGUUGGAGUCUGUGUGGAAGGCGGUGUCCAAGUCCCUUGGAACAGGGCGCCCAGGAGGGUGAGAGCCCCGUGGGAUGCCGGCGGAAGCAGUGAGGCCCUUCUGACGAGUCGAGUUGUUUGGGAAUGCAGCUCCAAGCGGGUGGUAAAUUCCAUCUAAGGCUAAAUACUGGCGAGAGACCGAUAGCGAACAAGUACUGUGAAGGAAAGAUGAAAAGCACUUUGAAAAGAGAGUGAAACAGCACGUGAAAUUGUUGAAAGGGAAGGGUAUUGCGCCCGACAUGGGGAUUGCGCACCGCUGCCUCUCGUGGGCGGCGCUCUGGGCUUUCCCUGGGCCAGCAUCGGUUCUUGCUGCAGGAGAAGGGGUUCUGGAACGUGGCUCUUCGGAGUGUUAUAGCCAGGGCCAGAUGCUGCGUGCGGGGACCGAGGACUGCGGCCGUGUAGGUCACGGAUGCUGGCAGAACGGCGCAA